rnacentral:rRNA from 1 species
CAGUAGCCGCGGGAAUACGUAGGGUGCGAGCGUUAAUCGGAAUUACUGGGCGUAAAGCGUGCGCAGGCGGUGCUGCAAGACCGAUGUGAAAGCCCCGGGCUUAACCUGGGAACUGCAUUGGUGACUGCAGCGCUGGAGUAUGGCAGAGGGGGGUGGAAUUCCACGUGUAGCAGUGAAAUGCGUAGAGAUGUGGAGGAACACCGAUGGCGAAGGCAGCCCCCUGGGCCAAUACUGACGCUCAUGCACGAAAGCGUGGGGAGCAAACAGGAUUAGAUACCCCUGUAGUCCCUGUCUCUUAUAC